GCAGCUGAAUACAAAACCGCUGCACUUUAGUAAUGUUCUUAUUAACCAAGAAAAAGACAUAUGAUUGCGUAUACUUGUUUAGUCAUGAAGUAUUUAUUGUUAGGAACAAGUAACACUUUAUAUGACAUGCUUAAAGUGUUCAAAAUCACUUACUAACUAGUUUGUAUAAAUAACUUGACUAACGGGUCAAACGGUUAGUGAAUGGAAAGAAUUAUGACAAAAAUAAAUAAGUAAAUAAUAUAGUUGUUGAAUAAAUAGCAUACUUUGGUGAAUAAGUGUGUGAAUCCAUAAGGUGUGAUGGUCAUGUUAAUGGUUGACUAAUCUAAUCAUCUUGUGGAUAUGAUAUGGUAGUUUGACUCUGACAAGCUAGGUAGGAGCUUGGAAAUGAACGGGUCAAAUGGAUACAAGUUCAAGUAUGAAGCUCGCAAGGAUGCAAGGUAAGUAUAACUUACACUAGUCAUAUAUUUUAAAAUGUUCUUUUGUCAUAUUGACUACGAAUAAGACAAAUGGUAAUUUAGUCACACGUUGACAAUAAUCGUUAGUUUUAAAAGACGCUUUCCCGCGAAAGACAUAAAGAGCCGAAAGUGGUAAUAAACGGUUUAUAAAUAAAAUGAGCAUACGGUGUUAAAAGGAGCGAGUCAUGUAGAUGAGAUGAUAAUAAAUAUUAUCUCGCAAAGAUAAACGGUCAAUUCGGCCAAACGGGUCAAAAGGUGUAGACAUCACCUUUUGACAAUAUCGACUAAUGAUUCUGGUGUCGAGUUAUAUGUUUACAGGAGUAGAUAUCCAAUGGAUACUCGCAUCGCUCUUAAUUAGCAAUUAUAAAGCAAGGUAUUAAACCGGGUUAGUAAGUUGAUCCGAGCCAGGUGAAUGUCGAGGGUCCCGGAUGAAGAUCGAGCAUCAAGCAAGAACCGAACACACAUUAAAUAAAGCUUCCGCAACGUUGUUUUGUCGUUAUUCUAAACGGUGAUUUAAAUCACAUUAUGUAUAUCACUUAAAUUGUAAAAGUUUUUAAUAAACCCGCAUUUUGUACAGUA